CAGCAGCCGCGGGAAUACGUAGGGUGCAAGCGUUAUCCGGAAUUAUUGGGCGUAAAGAGCUCGUAGGCGGUUUGUCGCGUCUGCUGUGAAAACUGGAGGCUCAACCUCCAGCCUGCAGUGGGUACGGGCAGACUAGAGUGCGGUAGGGGAGAUUGGAAUUCCUGGUGUAGCGGUGGAAUGCGCAGAUAUCAGGAGGAACACCGAUGGCGAAGGCAGAUCUCUGGGCCGUAACUGACGCUGAGGAGCGAAAGCGUGGGGAGCGAACAGGAUUAGAUACCCGCGUAGUCCCUGUCUCUUAUAC
rnacentral:rRNA from 1 species